CUCGUGGACUGGAGACCCAAGAUAAUCCUUACAAAACAUCUAUUCAUUCUACAAGUGAGAAUUUCAGGAAUACUCGAUACUGACCUUGGCAAGACCAAUGGACCGAGAUUGAGUGAUGGGUUUGUGUGCGUUGUGGCCGACGUGCGUUUUGGUGCUUUGUCUGCCAGUUUAAGAAUAUUUUAGCCCUGGGGAAGGGAGAUUUAUGGUAUUUUGAUUAAUGAAUACAAUGAAGACUUAAACUUGAAAAUAAAAUUAUUAGAUACAACAUUAAUUUCAUAGCUUAUUUUUGAGCACAAACUUGAUUUUGUUGCUUCAAGAAAGGACCUGCUGAUGAUUAAUGGUAGUUUUCUAUUUCAAUGUGGCCACUUUAAUUGAUAUGUAAACCAUUAUUUUUUAAGGGAAAUAAAAUAAGGAGGCAAUACACCCUAGCAAAAAGGACACACUGUAUCAGAUUCUUAAUUGCUAAUUUUAAUUUGGGCUUUUAUUUGAUUUCUGCUAUGAACUGGCUAUGUGACUUUGGAUGCUUAUGAUCUCUUCAAUUUGUUAAUGGAAAGAAAUGCCAUUUACACUGGAUGGCUACAUAGCAACCUUAUUCUGGUAAAAUAAUCUCUUAAGUCCUUGUAUACACAGUCCCUAACUGUUGGCUUUAUAAGGUCAGUACCAGCAGACAGCUCUGUGGCUGUUAGGAGCUCAGCGUGUCCAAGAUAGCACUAACUGGAACAAACACGAAACAGCAGGGUGUUUAAACAGUACUGAUUGAUUUGAAUGUACCCCAGUCUGAACCGAGGACUCUCAAAAAAAGAACCCACCAGCAAAAUUACAUUAAUUAUGGAGAUUGUUAGGUUGUAUCAGUGGAGUUUAGCUGUGCCUUAUUAAAAAGCAAAGGUGAGGGAAUGGAAUCCCUUAAAUUCAGAUCUUAAACUAUUAAAGACGACAACUUGCAGGUCAACUUUUAUUUCUGACUGCUGAGUACUUUUGGAGGAGAAAGCUGUGG